UUUAAGUGCAAUUAUAAGAUUUUGUGUCCAACAUUAGACCAUCUGUCUUAUAUAAAAAAAUAUGAUUUUUUUUUAAAAAGUCACGCAUAAAUUAUGUUUUAUCUAUAAUAAAAAUAAAAGUAUUAAUAAAAAAAUUAAAUAAGAUGGAUGUUUAAACGUCGUUGUACAAAGAAACACACUGCUGCAUUUAGA
rnacentral:pre_miRNA from 1 species